UAGAUAUUAGUAAAAAUAUUACAUAACUUUGUCAAAGUUAUAUUACUGGUUUGACUCCUGUAUAUCUUU
rnacentral:tRNA from 1 species